ACUCCUACAAACAUUUAACCACCAGCAAGGUGGUUAGAAAAUCAGGACUUUGGUUCUCUGGCACAGAGUUGGAAUUAUUAAAAUGGCAGCAUUUCAGAAGGCAGCAACACCUACAGUAUGACUAUUUUAUAACGAAGCCAUCAGCAGUACGGGAGUUCACGGCCUUACACUAGCGUGGACAAAGUCAAUAUGACCAUUGGGUUUCUGAGCAUGUCAGAAGUGCACUUCAUCCACACUCUUCCCACAAAAAUGACCCAGAAUUGUUUGUGAACCACACAAUACAUAUAUAUUAUGGAGAAAGUAGGAAGUGCUGUUAAAUGAAAAGAAGAAAAGGAAGCUCUUCUGUGAUUAUACCUUCUAGAGAGUACCGCUGUUAAUAUUUGGGCAUCUAUUCCCCCCGAAUUUGAAGAUGAUGGUAAUGAAGAUGAUGAAGGAUGAGAGCUUCAUGAGAUGGGGACUGUUCUAAACCCUGUCCUGUGGUUUUCCUGUGCCUAGAACAGAGCUAGCACAAGGU